CUCCCUUAGCUAAAAAUUUAGGUCAGUACUCCCUCCCAAAUUGCUCUCGGCCUCCAUCUGACUCAGUAUCGCGCUCACCCUCCCUCUGACUCAGUAUCGCGCUCAAUCCCCCUUACCAUCGCUCUCUCCUUUAAUCCCCCUCACCCUCUCAACCUCAUCGACCCUUGCUCUCACUCUCAGCAGGUUUUUCUUACUUCAAGCUCUGAUACAACAAGGCCCAGCAUAUAAUUUGUAGAAGUAAGGAGAUCGAAACGAAGAAGGAAGAGAUCGGCAAACUGAUUGCAGACCCACUCAGGCAACGAUUAAAGCAGAGAGAAGACUCUAGUGUGAAAUAGGAGCAACUGCAGUUUGAGAAAGCUGUCAAAGGCGCAAAUCAAGUUCUGUUCAUUGCUUCUGGAGACGACGAUACGAUUAAGUGUAGAAGCGGUGGGCUUAACUCUCCUCUCCAUUUUGCUGCAGCUAAAGAGCACAACGAGAUUAUUUCAUUGCUUUUGGAGAAUGGAGCUGAUGUAAACUCCAGAAAUUACUGUGGGCAGAUCAUGAUGGGAUAAUUGGACUCAUGCCUUGUAGUUUGCUGCUUGUGUUUGUGAGUUAUGUGAUGUAUAUAUGCCUUGUGGACUUAUGGAGCUGAUGUAAAUUCCAGAAAUUACUGUGGGCAGUUAAAACUCAAGUAGCCAUUAAGAUGCUUUCGCCAUCAUCAGUUCAGGGGUUUCAAGAAUUUCAUGGAGAGGCAAACAUCUUGCUGACUGAAAACUUCCAAGCCAAAGUAUCUGAUUUUGGCCUAUCCAGAAAUUUCCCUACAGACCUUGUGACACAUAUAACAACUGGCGUUGUUGGUACUCUCAGGUACCUUGACCCUGAGUAAGUAGUACUUCUAGAUUAAUUUUAGUUUACUGAUCAUCAUUAGUUUUUAAAUGAUUGUUGGCAUUAGCCAGAAAGAGAGGAAUACCUUGGGUGGAAGGGUUGCCAAUAUAAGUGCAGGAAGAAUUGCUGGAUAACAGUCUCCGGGGAGGUUGUUAUUCCUCUUUGAUCUUCUUUCUUUGGAUUGUGUUUAUGGGUUUGUUUUCCUUUUUUAUGAAAAAAGAAAAAGCUGCUAAUUCUAAGAAGAGAAAAGAAACACCAAGCCAAAGGAGAAGAAAUUAUAGCUUAGAGAUUCCUCUAUUGGUAAUCUUUCAGUAGCAGUGAUGGUUUACAAUUUUGAUUCGAAUUAGUUUACAAAUUUAUUGGAUAUCUUUUUACCUCCUCAGCUUAGCUUGAUAAGAGCACAUUAUAACCACUUAAGAAUAUAACUUGGUUGAAACAAUUCAGAACCCUCUCGGAGGUAGGUUCCAAGUAUUGGGUUAUCGGCAUACAAAAGCCAUUUUCAGUACUGCAUGCAAUAUAAUGUCCAGACUAACUAGAACAAUAUUCUCCAUCCAUAUAAUUUUGCUGUUUAAUGGUGAGAGUUCCUCACAGGGAACUCAUCAGUUUCGAUUAUAUCAAAUCUUGGGUGUCAUCAUUAUUGUUCUUACUUCUGGAUAUAUCAUUUUACUUAUUAAUCUAAAUAAAUGUUAUUUGCCAAAAACAUACUUUUUUUUUUUUUUCUCUCUCAUACCUAAUUCUUAAUUGAUUUUACAACUUAUCAACUCGAUCAGCUUUUAAACCAUAGAAUCCAACUUGAAACUAAUCAUCAACCGUCUGUGAUAUCAUCUUUUAAUUAGAAUAUUUGACUCAAACUAAUUGAUUUGUAUUACACUUAGCAAGACUCAAAAUUUCCAACCUCGAAUUUUAUGUUAUGUCGAGUAUUUUAUUACGUUUAAAAUAUUGUUCAUUAUGAGGUAAAACCUCAUCAGGGAAGGCCACAAGUAGUUCUGCACCUGUUUCCUAUUUUUUAUCAAUGUGGGUGAGGAUCUCCUUUAAACCUCCUCAAGUUGAGAUGGUUUUGGUGGGAGAACAAAUAAUUUAAAAUUUUUAGGAACAGGGACACAGCUGGAACUGACCCAAUUUCAUAAUCACUCUCCAAUCUGCUAAUUAAAUAAAGAAAGAAUGGUUUUGAAACCACCAAUAUUUGCAGGAUGAGCUGUGUAAUGGCAAUGACAUUGAUAAGCACACCUACUAGCAUGAGCAGAAAGCAAUCCUAUGGAGAAGGAUGGCUUGAUGGUGAACGCUACUGGGUUAAAUACUUCAAAUAUAGGUUUGGCUGAAAAUAUUUUCAGUCAUCUCCUAACUGGUCUGGGUGCUGGUUUCUUUGCAGUAUCUACUGGGUCUCCAGUUGAUGUGGUACACAUUCUGAAACCUAUUAGCCUUAAUAAUAAGUUUGGUGCUUCUAUUUAUGAUCAUAAGGAGCAAAUCUGAUAUAAAGAGCAUAAAGGUGAGGCUAGGGGCGAUUAAGAAGAGGAACGCUGUGCUGAAUACAUGUUGCUGAUCUUCUCAAGAUUGGCCUCGAUAUUAAUGUAUAUAGAAGGUUCUCACCCAAAAUAUAAAGAAGCUCAUUUUUGUGCUGCUGUAGGUGGAGCUAGGAGUAGCACAGCAGGUCGAAAAGGCAUGGCUGAUGCUCUAGCAGAUAUGACAAAAAGGUUUGAACUGAAGCUGAAGUUUCAGCCUCUGGUGUCAAGGUCCAUCGCUUGGGGGGGGGGGUGUUGCCCUCGGAGGCUUGAUCGUGGACACCAAGGUGUUCUACUGGCCUAGAAAGUAUUUUGUGCGCCUAGCUUUGCUGAUUCAAGGACAUGAGUAGGAAAAGGAGCUUUUCUUCAGCUUCAGAAGGCACUCUUUUAACUUGAAAGUUUGUUGGAUAGUUUUGUGAAUACUAAGUGCAAACCAAUUUGUUUCAGUGGAAGAGAAGAGGGAAGGCAGCAUAUACGCAGCACCAUAUUGAUGCAAUCAGAACAAAUUAAGUGGGCAAAAUUUGUUGUUAAAACAUAUAUGUAAGCAUAAUCGCAUCCAGCUAGUUAGUACUUAGGUUUAGGAACUUAUUUUGGUAACCUUGAUAUAUGAUAGACUUGCUAUAUUAAGGUUCUUUUGGUUUCAAUUGUGGUUGAUCCGAAUAUGAAUUUGCACUUUGGUUCCAAAGUUGGAUAUGACAAUGUAUGAAAUAGAUGGCAGUAAUCUAUGACAAUGUGGUAUUUUGGAUA